rnacentral:rRNA from 1 species
UACGGGGGGAGCAAGCGUUGUUCGGAUUUACUGGGCGUAAAGGGCGCGUAGGCGGCCAGCACAAGUCAGUUGUGAAAUCUCCGAGCUUAACUCGGAAAGGUCAACUGAUACUGUGCGGCUAGAGUGCGGAAGGGGCAACUGGAAUUCUUGGUGUAGCGGUGAAAUGCGUAGAUAUCAGGAGGAACACCCGUGGCGAAGGCGGCUACCUGGUCCGUAUCUGACGCUGAGGCGCGAAAGCUAGGGGAGCGAACGGG